UUGGCUUAGAAGCAGCCAUCUUUUAAAGAUAGCGUAACAGCUCACUGGUCUAAUUAAGUUGUCCUGCGGCGAAGAUGUAACGGGGCUCAAGCCAUGAGCCGAAACUUCGGAUGCAUUUAAUGCAUGGUAGCGGAGCGUAGUGUGACAUAGUUCCAUGCGUCCUUCGUUUUAUAGCGGACUGCCCAGGCUUUCGAGCCUGUGUGGAGGCGCGUAAAAUACUGGACGCAAGGAGCUUUCUGUGAAGCCGGCCUGUGAGGGAUCCGGUGGAGAGAUCACUAGUGAGAAUGAUGACAUGAGUAACGACAAAGGGGGUGAGAGACCCCCUCGCCGAAAAUCCAAGGGUUCCUGCUUAAAGCUAAUCUGAGCAGGGUAAGCCGGCCCCUAAGCCGAGGGCGAAAGCCGUAGGCGAUGGGAACCAGGUUAAUAUUCCUGGGCCAGGAGGAAGUGACGGAUCAUGAAGAUUGUUGGAUCAGGCGUAGUUGCCCCAGCAGUUAAUUGGUUCCUGGAAAUAGCCCUCCAUCAGACCGUACCCUAAACCGACACAGGUGGAUAGGUAGAGUAUACCAAGGCGCUUGAGAGAACUAUGUUGAAGGAACUCGGCAAAAUACCUCCGUAAGUUCGCGAGAAGGAGGCCCGGUUUCUAGGCAACUGGAAGCUGGGGGCACAAACCAGGGGGUGGCGACUGUUUACUAAAAACACAGGGCUCUGCGAAGUCGCAAGACGACGUAUAGGGUCUGACGCCUGCCCGGUGCCUGAAGGUUAAAAGGAGGGGUGAGAGCUCCGAAUUGAAGCCCAGGUAAACGGCGGCCGUAACUAUAACGGUCCUAAGGUAGCGAAAUUCCUUGUCGGGUAAGUUCCGACCUGCACGAAUGGCGUAACGACUUCCCCGCUGUCUCCAACAUAGACUCAGUGAAAUUGAAUUGCCUGUCAAGAUGCAGGCUUCCCGCGGUUAGACGGAAAGACCCCGUGCACCUUUACUACAGCUUCACACUGGCAUUAGGUCAGACGUGUGCAGGAUAGGUGGUAGGCUUUGAAACUCGGACGCCAGUUCGGGUGGAGCCUCCCUUGAGAUACCACCCCUGUCUGUCUUGAUGUCUAACCGCGGUCCGUUAUCCGGAUCCGGGACCCUGUGUGGCGGGUAGUUUGACUGGGGCGGUCGCCUCCUAAAGAGUAACGGAGGCGCGCGAUGGUUGGCUCAGACCGGUCGGAAAUCGGUCGUCGAGUGCAAUGGCAUAAGCCAGCCUGACUGUGAGUCUGACAAGACGAGCAGAGACGAAAGUCGGUCAUAGUGAUCCGGUGGUCCCGAGUGGAAGGGCCAUCGCUCAACGGAUAAAAGGUACGCCGGGGAUAACAGGCUGAUACUGCCCAAGAGUCCAUAUCGACGGCAGUGUUUGGCACCUCGAUGUCGGCUCAUCUCAUCCUGGGGCUGGAGCAGGUCCCAAGGGUAUGGCUGUUCGCCAUUUAAAGAGGUACGUGAGCUGGGUUUAGAACGUCGUGAGACAGUUCGGUCCCUAUCUGCCGUGGGUGUAGGAGACUUGAUGGGAGUUGCCCCUAGUACGAGAGGACCGGGGUGAACGAUCCACUGGUGGAUCUGUUGUUGCGCCAGCAGCAGUGCAGAGUAGCUAUGAUCGGACAGGAUAACCGCUGAAGGCAUCUAAGCGGGAAGCCCCCCCAGAAACAAGGUCUCCCUUGAGGGCCGUGGAAGACCACCACGUCGAUAGGUCGGAGAUGUAAGUGCUGUAAAGCAUUCAGUUGACCGAUACUAAUUGCCCGAUAGGCUUGAUUUG
rnacentral:rRNA from 1 species